GACGAACGCUGGCGGCGUGCCUAAUACAUGCAAGUGGGACGCAAGGACACACACUGUGCUUGCACACCGUGUUUUCUUGAGUCGCGAACGGGUGAGUAACGCGUAGGUAACCUGCCUAUUAGCGGGGGAUAACUAUUGGAAACGAUAGCUAAUACCGCAUAAUAUUAAUUAUUGCAUGAUAAUUGAUUGAAAGAUGCAAGCGCAUCACUAGUAGAUGGACCUGCGUUGUAUUAGCUAGUUGGUAAGGUAAGAGCUUACCAAGGCGACGAUACAUAGCCGACCUGAGAGGGUGAUCGGCCAAACUGGGACUGAGACACGGCCCAGACUCCUACGGGAGGCAGCAGUAGGGAAUCUUCGGCAAUGGACGAAAGUCUGACCGAGCAACGCCGCGGGAGUGAAGAAGGGUUUCGGAUCGUAAAGCUCUGUUGUAAGUCAAGAACGUGUGUGAGAGUGGAAAGUUCACACAGUGACGGUAGCUUACCAGAAAGAGACGGCUAACUACGUG
rnacentral:rRNA from 1 species